rnacentral:tRNA from 1 species
UCCCUGGUGGUCUAGUGGUUAAGGAUCUGGUGCUCUCUCCACCAUGGCCUGGGUUUGAUUCCUGGGCAGCAAA